UUCAGCUUCGUUGAAAGCAAUGUUUUGUGAAAUUUGACUUCUUGGCUUGUUGGACCUGCAGCUUAUUACAGUAAUUUGGAAGCAGACUGUUGUUGACUCUGGAGUAGCCGUCAUUAUGGCAACCUUUAUGUUGUAGAUCACAUGGCAGUCACAUUGGAUGUGGAGCUGGUUCUUGGAUACAACUUCUUCAAUUUGAUGAAAACACUUUACAGAUUUGACAACAGUAAAUAAGAGGCAGGUUUGAAGCGAAUAUGCAGAACUCUGUACCAAGGAUGCCUGGUAUGGGACCAUCUGACAAAGAGUUGAAUGACUUAUUGGAUUUUAGUGCUAUGUUUUCACCCCCUACUGGAGCUGGUGGGAAGCCUGGAGGUGCUAAUAAUGGAGCUUCCAUGGGACAAGCAGGUCCCGGAGGACCAGGAGGGCCAGCGAGACCAGGAGGACCAGGAGGGCCAGCAAGACCACCAGGACCGCCAGGACCACCAGGACCUUUAAGAUCAGGACCGCCAGGGAUACCUCCAACUUCUUCUGGAUCAGCAGGCCAUACCACCUCCUAUAAACCUGGUGAGAUUUUACCUUUAAUUAUUGUCCAUGUUGUGUUGUGGUCUUAUUCUGUUAUGUCAUCACAUGCAUGUAAUAUUGUUUUGUUUUUAUUUUUUCUUUGAAAACCAAGCUGAUAUAUUUAAACAAACAAAUAAACACAUAAUUAAUUUAGACUUGACCGGCAGGUUAUAUAUAUGCAUACACUGGAUAUUGAUAACGUUUCUGUGAUUAUUUGUAUUUAUUACUUAUUCAUAUAAUUUUUUACAGGGGAGGGGUUCUUAAAAAAUAUUCCUUUUUUUGAUAGACAGAUUAUCUUUCGAA